rnacentral:rRNA from 1 species
GACGAACGCUGGCGGCGUGCUUAACACAUGCAAGUCGAACGGUGAAGGGAUCAGCUUGCUGGUUCUGGAUGAGUGGCGAACGGGUGAGUAACACGUGAGUAACCUGCCCCCUUCUUCUGGAUAACCGCAUGAAAGUGUGGCUAAUACGGGAUAUUCUGCGCCUGCUGCAUGGUGGGUGUGGGAAAGAUAUUGUUUCGGUGGGGGAUGGGCUCGCGGCCUAUCAGCUUGUUGGUGGGGUGAUGGCCUACCAAGGCGGUGACGGGUAGCCGGCCUGAGAGGGGGGAAGGUCACACUGGGAAUGAGACACGGCCCAGACUCCUACGGGAGGCAGCAGUGGGGAAUAUUGCACAAUGGGCGCAAGCCUGAUGCAGCGACGCCGCGUGAGGGAUGGAGGCCUUCGGGUUGUGAACCUCUUUCGCCAGUGAAGCAGGCCUGUCCCGUGUGGGUGGGUUGACGGUAGCUGGAUAAGAAGCGCCGGCUAACUACGUG